rnacentral:snRNA from 1 species
AAGUAACCGUUCUAGAUCCU